rnacentral:rRNA from 1 species
CAAUAGCGUAUAUUAAUGUUGUUGCAGUUAAAAAGCUCGUAGUUGGAUUUCUGAUGGGAGCCCUGGUCACUUUAACGAGUGUACUGAUGUGGCGUCCUGUCGUUUCAUGGGGAUGCUUGCUGGUAUUAAGUUAUCGGCUUGUGGAUCCAUGUCGUUUACUGUGAAAAAAUUAGAGUGUUCAAAGCAGGCCAUCGCUGUGAAUACAUUAGCACGGAAUAAUAAGAUAGGACUGUGGUGCUAUUUUGUUGGUUUGCGUACUACGGUAAUGAUUAAUAGGGAUAGUUGGGGGUAUUCAUAUUCAAUUGUCAGAGGUGAAAUUCUUGGAUUUAUGGAAGAUGAACUACUGCGAAAGCAUUUACCAAGGAUGUUUUCAUUAA